ensembl:lncRNA
ACCACUGCCCAUGGCUCCUAAAUUUAUUUUUCUAAAUGCCACAUAAAAACAUUAAAAUGGCACAUAUUAUGGGGUGAUGUGUGCUGUUUCAUACAUGUUCCCACUGUGAAAUACUCUGAUCAGGUUAAACACUUGUCUUCUCAAACAUUUAUCUUUGCUUUAUGGUGAAACCAUUCAAAAUCCUUUCUCUUAGCUUUUUGAACUAUACAUUACGUUUUCAUCUGAAGUCAGCAUAAAGUCUAAUUCUUAGACUUUUAGCCAGUCCUCUCAUGUGUGCUUCACCUCUAUCCCCCACUCUUGCAAGUACAUGGCAUCACCAUUCUCUGGGUUUGGCGGAGCUUUUUCCCUGGCAUUGGGAUCCAGCAUUUAGUAGUCAGGUCUGAGAGGAGACUCUGUCCAGUUGGCUUGACAUGGCAGGUGAAUGGUGCUCAUGGCUGCCCCCGUCCCUGGGUUAGAGGGUCCCAGCUGCCAGUGCAGUAAAGCAGUGCCCUAUUUGUCAUCUUUUCUUUCCGUGUAGUGAUUGAAAGGAAAAAUGAGUUAUGAUCCAGGUGUCUGAGUCCUGACCCUGUCCCUGCUUCUGACCCAGUUCUUGUGUUCUUGCCAUUUUCUUCUCCCUCCUUCCUGUUCUUUGCCUGGACCCCAGCGUUAUCUCUUUGCUGGUACCCAUGUUCUCUGCUCUCCCAAGUCCUACUACCCACCCUCGAGUGUGAUGUCAUUAACAGUGUCAUUCCACUUGCUGCUGGGACCUCUUGUCACCAGUGCAGGUGUCACACCUGCCAUUAUUAGACCUGGUUCCUUGGCCUUUGCCCACACUUCUGCAGACCCAGCCAAGUUAGACUUUAGUCUAAAAAACUGCUUCACUUUUUCAACCUCUGCCUCCCAUGGAAAUGCUACCUCCCCUCCCCUACUCCCAGGACCCAAGAUGAACUACAUCCUCAGCCCUUUUUAUUUUUUGCUUUGAAGCAAGAUCUCACUAAAUUGCUAAAUUGCCCAUGCCGAGCUCAAACUGCAGUCCUCCUACCUCAGUCUCCCAGAGUUGCUGGGAUUACAAGUGUUAGAACAAAAAUCCCAGAGCACAACUGCUGACAGCAGACAAAAGCAGGCUCCUUUGGGCUCAUGAAAAGAUUCAGGAGUAGAAAAGCAAUCAGAGGAGGAGAAUCAGAGGGGAACAAAAAGAAGUUUUGGUCCCAGCACUCAGGAGGCUGAGGCAAGAGGACUGAGAGAUCCAGGCCAGCCUGAGCUACAUAGCAAGACCUUCUAUCAAAAACUUUUUUAAAAAGCACAUUUAUGGGAGAUUAAAGAAGACAUUCAAGGGACAAUCUGGAGUCCAAGAAUACUGCUUUCAGAUGAAGUGCAAGAUUCAGGGAAAGAUACUGUGAUAAUAAUAUAAGCCAAUAUGUGAGAGUUUAGACCUUGAAAUAAAUGGAUUUUUCUCUUCAGUCCUGGAAUUGAACCCAGGACCUCUGUGUAAGGCUAUGCUGUACCACUGAGCUACAUCCUCAACCCAAAAUAGUUAUGAUUUUGGGGAGUUUAUUGGGGGGGUUGAGACAGGGUCUCACUAUGUAGUCCAAGCUGGCCUCAAACUCACAGCGAUCCUCCUGCCUCAGCCUCCUGAGUGUUGGGAUUACAGACAUACACCACCAUGCCUGGCCAGUUUUUAAAAAUAAAAUACAAAUGACUAAAAUUGACUAAAAGAAAUGGAAAAUUUGGAUAGACCAACUAUUCAGGUAGAUCAAAUUAUGUGGAUAGGAAAGAGCCAUCAAAAGUCUAGGGCCAGGGAUUUAGCUCAGUGAUUCUGCUGCCUGCCUCGCAAGCGCAAGGUCCCAAGUUUGAUCCCUGGUACCAAAAAAAAAAAAGUCAUACCCCCCAAAUUUCAGCUCCAGUUGAAUAAUGUGGAGAAUUUCCAGUAAAUCUUCAAGAAAGAUAAUAGGUAGUUUUACAAUCUAGAAUCUAGGGUAUGAG